rnacentral:lncRNA from 1 species
UCUCUCUCGCUCAACUCUCUCCCACUCGAGCCUCUCUCGCCUGAAUCUCUCUCACAGUCACUCUCUCUCUCGGUUUCUCUCUCCCUCGCGUCCUCACAAUCUCUCCCCUGUUCCCCCUCGUUUUUCUGGCCGCCUGCUGUGCUCUCGUCGCCGCCUCCUUCCGGUUUCUCUCCCUCCUCAAUUCGAGCUGCUGUGUGUGUAUGUAUCAGUGCGUCUGUGUGUAUAUUUCGAGUGUGUGUGAUGGGGUGCUGGUGUGUGUGCGUGAAGGUGUGUGUGUGUAUUCUGGUGUGUGCGCGUGUGCUACUAGGCGGGUGUGGGUGUGUGUAACAAGUGUGUGUGUCUCGUAGGUGUGUUCGUGUGGGGCCGUGUUGUAGAUUCUUCGGUUGGCUCGAGUCCUGAACUAAUUUCUUUUAUAUACGCUCUUCGUUUAUUAUUUCGAUUGUUGGUUUAUUCAAUUGAUUAUCGGAUUUAGUUAGUAUUUGUAAAUUAUCUAAAGUCAUAACUAUUUCGUAGAUUUAGUUCAUUGGAUUUAUUUGUUGGAUUUGAUUGGUAUUUUUAGUUUGGAUUAUUCGGAGAUUGAUUGUAGGUUUGUUGGGAUUUGUUGUGUCGAUAUGAUAUCGACUGGUAGACCGAUAAAUAGAGGAGGUGCUGCCCGAUUUUCAAAUGAAAUUAGAUUUUAAAUUAUACGGGAGCGUAUCCUAUAAUUAUCGGACUAUUAAUCGAAUUUAUAUAGUUACUGAUUCGUGAUAUUUCUAUAAAAUCUAUAAAUAAUAUUUAUGUGAUUUGGUAGUAAUAGCAGUACUACAUAGCAUUAUUAUUGAUGUUAAUGUGUGAAACUGUGUUUACUUGGUAAUUUUAGGAUGUCGAAUAUUAAUAGAUAUUAGUAUUAUUCUUUAUUAUUAUUAUUACUUUCACUAGUAGUAAUAAUAGUAAAUAAUAAUAUUAAUAAUAUAAAUAUGCGAUAUCUUAAAUAGUUAAAAUGUUUUGCCUAUUAAUAUUUGAUUGUAGCGUGUAGAAUUGAACUGCUAUGAUGAUCUAACUCAACUUGCAAUUCUGAAUUGAAUAGUAUCUAAAUUGAGUAUUAUGGUAGGUGGUAAGUAAAUGUAUGGAAAUAUGUGAUACCUGCUAAGUGCUAUGUAAGUCUAAAUGUAAAGACAACCCUAUCUGUUACAUAGGGAUGAUAACUCAACAAUAGAACAGGACAAGUAAAUAACACUACGCCUGCACCGGAAUCGGAAGAUACGAAGACAAAGGUUGAAGAAGCCAUCUACAGUCUUGAAGGAAUAAGUUCACUGGAAGAAGUUCAUUAAUAUGUUCAUGCCUCAGUGAAGAAUAAAGAUUGAAGUAUUCAAGAUUGUGGAAGCAAUGAAGAUGUUGUCCAAGUACUCGAAAGAUUUCAGUGCAACCCCUGAAGCAAGAUAUUUCUAUAUAUCUUGGUUGGUUAUUUAUAAUCAACAAACUGAAGCAUAAACUAACCCGGAAUGACUGAUCAAGUAUAUUGUUAAGCAAAAGAAUUCAAGGGAUUAUUUCAGUUCGAGUCGUUCGUGAACCAGACCAGUGCACAGGACGUCAGGACGUACGAAAGUAUUCAGUGGAUUCAAGCAACGGAUUAAUUGAUCAAGUCAAUCGAGCUACUCCUGAAUGGAUUACCAAAAGAACCUUUUUAUUAUAUGUGUAUAUAUAUAUAUAUAUUAAUUGUGAAUUACCUGAAUUGAAUAAUUCAAGUAAUUCAAUUAACACAAUUAAUAAUAUAUAUAUAUAUAUAUAAUAAAGGUAAAUGGAAGUCCAAGGCAAGAUCUUCCAAGUGUACAACAGUGUAUACACUGAGGUAAAUGAAUCAGGCGCCAAGUUUGACUAAAAGUCAAAACUUGCGCUUGAUAUAUUUAUCAGGAAAUCUUCUAAGUACCACUCACUGGGAACACUGUAAAGGCGCACCAUUUGACUAGAAUUAGCGCCACUGUUGACUGAAAGUCAAGCGCAAGCUUUGACUUGGAUUAUGCUCAAAAUUGUCUAAGGCAACAGAUGAACCAGUUUUGGCGCAACUUUAAGUCAAGCGCAACAUUUGACUAAAGUCAAAUGUUGCGCCUCUACUCUUGCCCUUGGCGCAACUUCAGUCCAUACUUAGAUUUUCUAAGUACACACAGUGCUCUACAGUGGAGUCAUCACUGCAAUGAGCGCAACCUUUGACUAAGUCAAAGGUUGCGACUCCCAUCCACUUCACUAGAGCAACUACUGGAAUUGUUCUAAGUCAUAUCUACUGUGACACUGUGGAAGCUCUUGUGAGCGCAACCUUUGACUCUAAGUCAAAGUUUGCGCCUCACUCUCACCUUGGGGCAAAGUGCAAGUUUCUUGAAGAUUGUCUAAGUGCCACUACAGUGAAGCAAUGUUUAGGCGCCAUGUUUGACCUCCUGGAAGCGCAACCUUUGACCACUUAUAUGUGUACACAUAUAUAAAUUUCCAAGCGCAAGUUUGUGAUAUAUAUAUGUGUAUAUAUAUAUGUGUAAUUGGCGCCACUUCAAGUGCUGAGGAGUUAGAUUUAUUUUGAUAAAUCGAACUCGUCCAGGACGAACUCAAGUCGUCCAGGACGAACUCGUUAACCAUGGUUAGUUUAUGAAAGCCUAUAAAUAUGUGAUUGGUGUUCUCACAAUUUACACAUCAUCCUUCGGGAUGGAUGGCCAAGUGCUAUGCACAAACUCUCUCAAAUAUUCACACACCCUAGCCUAGUUUUGUACCAUAAAUAUUUGUAGUGGAUAGGGCUUGUAAUAUUUAGAGGAGUGGUCAUUGUAGCCAACCUUCGGGUUUGGAUUUGUAGCACCCUUCGAGGUAUUUAUCAAUAUACAGAUAUACCUUGGAAAAUAUUGUGUGUUGGUUUAAUAUUUUCAUAUCCUCAGAAACCGACCCAAUAAAUAUCCGGAACACGAAACCCAUUACAGGACUGCAAUUUAUUUAUCCGCAAGAUUCGAAAGAAUUUUAAAUUGUAGUGAGUAUCGUAUUCAACCCCCCCCCCUUUCUACGAUACUUUGGACCUAACAUGCUACGUGUUAAAUGUUAGAGUAUUAUUCUUGAUAGUAUAAUGUAUUAAUAUUGAGUUACUUUCUGUUUUAAAGAUAAGCUGUUAGUUUCUUUCAAUCAUUAUAUGUUUAGGUGCAGCAUGUCUGGGCGAAUUAUUUAUCAUUAUGUGUUAGGUGCCGCAUGUCGGGGCGGGUACUUUCUUAUGUGAUUUACUGCAUGUCGAGGCAGAAUUUCUUUAUAUUAGUAUUUUAUUUAGUUUAAAGAGCUUGAUUUGAUUGAUUUGAAAACAAGGGGAUAGUCCUAUUUACGAAUAGGUGAUGCCGAAUUUUCUAUAGAAAUAUUAACUUAAGUUACGCGUUCUCGUGUUAAAUAAUAUUCUGAGUUGGUUGUAAGUUGUAAAACUAUAACGUGUGCUACUUGUUAUGUGCUAUAUAAUGUGCCAUGUAUAUAUAUGUAUAUAUAUAUCACGAAAGGGUAGAAAUAAGAUAGUCGUUCUGGAAGGAUACUAAAAUAGUAUCUUUUUGUUUAUAAUAGGAUCGAGCAUUGAGGGCGUGAGACCAAGCAAAGGCC